CCCAUUCUGACUGUGCGCCUCCGUGCCUCGCCCUCGCCUGGUCACGAAGGAGUCAUCGCGAUUAGCAUCAUCGGAAUGUCGUUGGAACGGUUACGACAUGUUUCAACUGGCUCGUCCAUUAGUGAACAAAGUUGGACGUGGUUUUGCGUCGUAAGGGGCUUUCGCUGUGUGUUUCGAGGAGUUGCUGCAGUCUUGCGUCCCGUCAGGUAAGUGUACAAGUAUCAUUUCGUGGCCGGUGUUGGUUCUGCUAAUUUAAAUUUCGUUUUUGCAUGUCAUGAAAGAACAAAGGAGGACAUGGUUUUGUAUCGUAACGGCGGCUGCAAUCUCGCGUCCGGUCAGGCCAUGAAAGAACAAAGUAGGAUAUGAUUUUGCGUCGUAAUGGGUUUUUAUUGUUUGUUUCGAGCAGCGGCUGCAGUCUUGAGUCUUGUCAGGCCAUGAAAGAACAAAGGAAGAUAUGAUUCUGCGUCGUAUGGGUAAGCUGUGUGAUUAAGGUUCACUUGUAUUCACACUAUGACUGCUGUGCUGUAGGUUUUUGUUGUUUGCUUCGAGCACCGGCUGCGGUUUUGCGUCCCGUUCAGGCAUUACUCAGUUGCACAGUAAGCUGGGUGAACCAACUUUGUUGUUGCCAUAGCCGUUUUACUCAGUUUUACCCACCUGCGUUUGAACAUUACUAAUCUGCAAUUGCACACCCUAUUUCAGACACAUUUCUCUCCAACGCUUUGAGACGUCGCUUUCGCCGAAAUUCAAUGAAUUUUGCAGUCCAGCAUUUAGUGUUUCAUCGUGGGUCGCCAGAAGAACAGCAGAUCAUUGACUGUCAAUUGUGCGACGCGACACUGUGUGGCACGAAGCAUGUGUACUUGUGAAAAAUAGAUACAUAUAUAGUUCUGCAAUACUUA